rnacentral:rRNA from 1 species
GACGAACGCUGGCGGCGUGCUUAACACAUGCAAGUCGAACGGGUCUGCCCUGUUUUUUGCGGGGUGGGUCAGUGGCGAACGGGUGAGUAACACGUGAGUAACCUGCCCCUCACUUCUGGAUAACCGCUUGAAAGGGUGGCUAAUACGGGGUGUUCUGGCUGUGCCGCAUGGUGUGGCUGGGAAAGAUUCACUUUUGUGGUGUUUUGGUGGGGGAUGGGCUCGCGGCCUAUCAGCUUGUUGGUGGGGUGAUGGCCUGCCAAGGCUUUGACGGGUAGCCGGCAUGAGAGGGUGGGCGGUCACACUGGGACUGAGAUACGGCCCAGACUCCUGCGGGAGGCAGCAGUGGGGGGUAUUGCACAAUGGGCGGAAGCCUGAUGCAGCGACGUCGCGUGAGGGAUGGAGGCCCUCGGGUUGUGAACCUCUUUCGCCGGUGAAGAAGGUCCUGCUCUUUGUGGUGGGGUUGACGGUAGCCGGGUUAUGAAGCGCCGGCUAACUACGUG